rnacentral:misc_RNA from 1 species
UUUCUGAGGUUUGUUCCUAACUCACAGAAAGUGAAAGCAAAUGGCAGAAGAAAAUGGUCCUUCUGAUUUUCCAGAAUCUACAUCUACUAGGUUUUAUUCAGAUGUACAGGCAAACAACAACUUUCAUGGGUCUGGUCUACCUGGUAUUAAGAGGAGAGGCCAAGGUCAUGGGAGUCGCUCUUGGAUAAAGAUUGAUGAGCAUGGCAAUUCAAAAAUUUUGGAAUUGGAUAAGGCUACCGUUAUGAGACAUUGUUCUUUGCCAGCCAGGGAUCUCCGGCUUUUGGACCCUAAGUUUAUCUAUCCCUCCACAAUAUUAGGACGAG